rnacentral:tRNA from 1 species
GAGGGUGUAGCUCAGUGGUAGAGCAUGUGCUUAGCAUGCCUGAGGUCCUGGGUUCAAGCCCCAGAAACUCCA